GAUAGGUCUUCCUCUUCAAGCAAAAGGUAAUCCUCUUUUCCUUUUCUUUUAUUAAAAAUAGUUCAAGUUGAUGGAAGUUGUUGGGAAUGCAGAAAUGGAGGAAAGGACAACAAAAAUUAAAGGUUAAAAACAGAAAUGGAAUCAUGUCAAAAGUUGUAGGAGUAAACUAAAUGGCAUUACCCCCAACUUGGGGAAAAGAAAGGUGAUUAAAGUUUCUCUUUCAAAUAUUCAAAAGCAUCAACUUGUUGCUUCAAAUUAUUAUAAUACCCUCCCAAUCCCAUGGCCAAGACUAAAAUUGUAAGAAGAUAAUGAAAGAAAGCAACUUCAAGUUUUGUCAAAUUUUGACAUAUGAGAACCAAUAAAAUGUUAAGAGUCAUUUUGACAAUCUUGAAUUCUUGAAUUUAAGUC
rnacentral:misc_RNA from 1 species